rnacentral:rRNA from 1 species
UACGGGGGGGGCAAGCGUUGUUCGGAUUUACUGGGCGUAAAGGGCGCGUAGGCGGCCACCGCAAGUCAAUUGUGAAAUCUCCGGGCUUAACUCGGAAAGGUCAACUGAUACUGCGGGGCUAGAGUGCAGAAGGGGCAACUGGAAUUCUCGGUGUAGCGGUGAAAUGCGUAGAUAUCGAGAGGAACACCUGCGGCGAAGGCGGGUUGCUGGGCUGACACUGACGCUGAGGCGCGAAAGCUAGGGGAGCGAACGGG